AUUGAACGCUGGCGGCAUGCCUAACACAUGCAAGUCGAACGAGUGGCGGACGGGUGCGUAAUGUCUGGGAAACUGCCUGAUGGAGGGGGAUAACUAUUGGAAACGGUAGCUAAUACCGCAUACCAUCGGAUGUGCCCACAUGGGAUUAGCUAGUUGGUGGGGUAAAGGCUCACCUAGGCGACGUUGCCUAGCUGCUCUGAGAGGAUGACCAGCCACACUGGAACUGGGUCACGGUCCAGACUCCUACGGGAAGCAGCAGUGGGGAAUAUUGCACAGUGGGCGCAAGCCUGAUGCAGCCAUGCCGCGUGUAUGAAGAAGGUCUUCGGAGUGUAAAGUACUUUCAUCGGUGAGGCGUUACCCGCAGAAGAAGCACCGGCUAACUCCGUGCCAACCGCCGCGGUAAUAC
rnacentral:rRNA from 1 species